rnacentral:piRNA from 1 species
UACAUCUAUCUAUGUGUGUAGUAACGUCCU